AAUCAACGCUGGCGGCGUGCCUAACACAUGCAAGUCGAACGCGAAAGUUCCUUCGGGAAUAAGUAGAGUGGCGUCCGGGUGAGUAACGCGUGGGUAAUCUACCUUCGGGUGGGGGAAGUAAACCCACGGGAAACGUUAGGGCGUAAUACCGCAUAAUGCAGCGGCUCGACAUCGAGACAGUUGUUAAAGCAGCAAUGCGCCUGAAGAGGAGCCUGCGUCUGAUUAGCUAGUUGGGAAGGUAAUGGCUUACCAAGGCUGCGAUCAGUAGCUGGUCUGAGAGGACGGCCA
rnacentral:rRNA from 1 species